rnacentral:SRP_RNA from 2 species
ACUGGGAGUGGUGGCGUACUUUUGUAAUUCAACUACUCGGGAGGUAGGUAUAGAGAGGAUGUUUUAAAGGCGAGGAUUUGGGGAUUGGAUUUCCCACGUUGAGCAGGCGUUUGCUGGGGGUAAAUCUUCAACUUGGAUGCCUUGGGGGAGCUCGAGGUAGCCAGGUUGAGUUCAAAAAGGGGGAAAAUUCGGACCAAAAGUCACCGAGUUGAGAGUCGUGGGUUCAAAUCCUAGGAGUGGGAGUUCGAUUUCAGGUCGUCUAAAAAAGAACAGGCCUGUACCUAU